GACAGCGUAGCUCAGUUGGCAGAGCAUUGGGCUAGUACUCUAAAGGUCGUAGGUUCGAAUCCCACCGUGGCCA